AGUUAAUGAACUUGUAUAAGUAUAUGUUUUGAAAACAUAAAAAAGAGUUGAACCCUCUAUUAACUU
rnacentral:tRNA from 1 species